UUGAAGUGCACAUGUCAAGGCCGCCAUUAUCACCACAGAAGAAGUUCGCGGGAAAGUAAAUAAGUUAAAUAAAAGUAAGUUUAGGCAACUGUUAUCAAUCAAACUGAGGUUAGUUAUCAAGACCUUAUAAUUAAACAAUGAUCCCCGUCUAAUUGUAACCGUAAUUUUACUAAAAAGUUGCAUUUUUUUCAACAGGUGACAUUGGGUUGCAUGCGACAUUUUUGGGAACGGCAUGACCGUCACAUUGAAAAAAGCUACAACAGUUAAGUAUGUGUGAAGUAUUUCAGACAUAAGUUAUAACGUAAUCCUCCUGUAUAUAAAAAUAUUGCGGACACGUACAGUAAUUGUACUAGUAAAUACGUUUUGCCCUCCGAGGAAAAAGGAGAACAAUGGACACCCAUGUGGUCAUUUCAAAAGAAGUUAGAACAACUUUAUCAGUUAACUUUUGUACAGGCUUAAUAGAGUGUGUGGAGUCAAAGGACUUUAAGCUUCUCCAAAAAUUUAAUUAAAUGUUGGUAAAAUAAGUUGCGAGGCCUAAAGUUUCAUUUUGCAUUUUAUUUCUUUACUGUUCUAGGACCUUAUCAUUAUUAUCAAACUGUUUUAAGGAAAAUUAAAUACAUGAAUGGAACUGUGGUCAUCGGGUCAAGAUAAGUUAUAAUAAUAAAAGAUACAUGGGGAACCAGGGCUCACACUACUUCUGAAUUAUAGGGAGAAGUGACUUCUCUUUUUGAAACUGAUAGGGAGAAGUGGUGAGAUUUGAAAGAGAAGUGCUCAUUCGCGCGGUGCGCUACAAUGUUUGGAUUUUACUAUAGUAUAAAGGGUCAUAUGUAAAUAAUGUUCUUUUUAUAUUAUUCAAUUCAUAUCUGAGUAUACAAUUAAAGUAACAUUUCAAAUUAAAAGUUGUUUAAGUUAACUAAGGUUUUGAGAAACUACAAACUAAAUAUUUAUAUCUAGCACUAAAAAUAUUUUUUUUUAUUUUAAAAAAUGUAAAGAAAUUAUAAUGUAUAUCACAUACCUGCCAACUUUCACGAUUUAGGCGUGUACUACACGAUUUUGACCCUUUGUCACGAUUGCACGAUCGUGUUCCUGAAAAACCCUCUAAAACACGAUUUGGUGAAAAUCUACACGAAAAAUAUUGUUGUUCCCGAUUUUGAACUGUGUCCAAUGGAGGAAAUCGUGUUCAGCCAAUCAAAUUGUGUGUUUCUCAUGAUCAAAUUAAUCAGCCAAUCAAAAACGUUUUCUCUCAAGAUUGUUUUAACAUGCUAGAUAUUGAACUUGUGUUGUAUUCCUCUGUUUGUUGGUCAGAAUUGUAAAAACGUGAACAUGGCAAAUGAUUUUUCAACUGCAAGGAGGUUCUUACACAGAAUAAGAAUAAAAGCAUGGCUGAUUGACAAACUUCAAUGAUGCAGUACUACCAUGAAUAUAAUAAAUAGUAGUUUAUUCACUAAUUUAUUGACAUUACAUGUACACUUGCUGUAACAUAAUUUUAUUUAUGUAUUCAAUCAUUUAAAGUAUAAUGUACUAUUCAUUAUUUUUCACAUGGACCCCCCACCCCCACCCACAUCAACAUGAGGAAUCCCUUAAAUGAGGGACUACCCUUAGUCAAGGGGUCACUCUUGUAAAAAAUAAAAUAGAAAAAUGUAGAUUUAUUAACUUAAAAAUGGGAAAUUCUGACAUUAUAUUUGGAACAGCUUUUCUAAAUGAAGAGUCCUAUUAUUUUGAAUAAUAAAGAAGAUAUAAGGCCAAGAACAUAUCAAAGUUCUUGGACAUGUGUUGACCAUAUAAUACCAGAUAGAUCAUAAGAUGUAUAGUUCUUUGGGAAAAGUUUCUUCAAAUAAUAUGAAUGUGUGCUCAUUUGUACUUAAAAAGUGGUUUUUAAUGUCCAAACAUUGAGGGGUGAUCCCUAUGUGUUGUUCCCAACCUGAUAAAGGUCCUUCUUUGUGUAUAAUUUUAAAUUGGAAAAGUCAACAACUAUUUAGUAUCCUUACACAUGAAAAUAAUUCCUGGUCUUACAGCUACAUGUAAUGAUGUUCAUAUUUUCUGCUGAUAUAAUAACUAGAAUCAUGCAAAUAAACUUAAGAAAAAGGGAUGUAAGUCCAUCUUACAAAUCAUGCAAAUAUGACACUUUUUCUAGACUACAAAACAGCACGCGCAAAAUAGUUGUCGCAAAGAAUUUUAACCUUUGAAAUUGUUGUGGCGCGCUAAAACCCCCAUGGGCAUUUUCAAAAGUUGGCAGGUAUGAUAUCAAUUACAAUUUAAUUCAAAUCUAUCUUGUGUAUGAAAUUCAGUGUUUCUCAUAAAAAAAUAUAAAAGUUUAAGCUGGGCCAUAAUAUAAUUAAUAGUCUCAGAGUUAAGCAACUUUGAAACAAUCCAUAAAAAAUAUAGGGAAUUAUAUACACCAAUCAAUUAGAUGUAACCAAAAGUCUCUUAAUGCGUGUGGAAUACGUAAUUUUUCCCUUUGGGAUCAAUAUUCUUCUGUCAGCUGUUCCAUCCGUGCGUCCGUAGUAAUUAUUGUAAAAGUACGGAUUACGGUCAUAGCUGGUCCGGUUCAGAUCCGUAGUUUAGAAAUCGGUCAAUGGCGGACGAAUGCAAGAAAAUUUACAAAAAUAAACGAUGUUUGACAAGUUAUUUGGAAAGGAACAUGACGUUUUUAAUGCAAUAAAUGGAUUGAACUUUUACUGGAGGCAACUUUUAUCACGUUUAAAUGAAGUAACAAACUUAUUUUGCUGCAGAUUGAUGUACGUUUUCGAGUAACAACCACCGGAACUUGCGGAAAUGCACGAAGUGAUAAAAAGUUGUAUUUUUAUACGACCGCAAAAUUUGAAAAAUUUUUCGUCGUAUAUUGCUAUCACGUUGGCGUCGUCGUCGUCGUCGGCGUCGUCGUCGUCGUCCGGCGUCCGAAUACUUUUAGUUUUCGCACUCUAACUUUAGUAAAAGUGAAUGGAAAUCUAUGAAAUUUUAACACAAGGUUUAUGACCACAAAAGGAAGGUUGGUAUUGAUUAUGGGAGUUUUGGUCCCAACAUUUAGGAAUGGAAUUAGGGGCCAAAAGGGCCCAAAUAAGCAUUUUCUUGGUUUUUCACACUAUAACUUUAGUUUAAGUUAAUAGAAAUCUAUGAAAUUUUUGACACAAGGUUUAUGACCACAAAAGAAAGGUUGGGAUUGAUUUUGGGAGUUUUGGUUCCAACAGUUUAGGAAUUAGGGGCCAAAAAAGGGCCCAAAUAAGCAUUAUUCUAGGUUUUCGCACAAUAACUUUAGUUUAAGUAAAUAGAAAUCAAUGAAAUUUAAACACAAUGUUUAUGACCACAAAAGGAAGGUUGGUAUUGAUUUUGGGAGUUUUGGUCCUAACAGUUUAGGAAUAAGGGGCCCAAAGGGUCCAAAUUGAACUUUGUGUGAUUUCAUCAAAAAUUGAAUAAUUGGGGUUCUUUGAUAUGCCGAAUCUAACUAUGAAUGUAGAUUCUUAACUUUUGGUCCCGUUUUCAAAUUGGUCUACAUUAAGGUCCAAAGGGUCCAAAAUUAAACUUAGUUUGAUUUUAACAAAAAAUUGAAUCCUUGGGGUUCUUUGAUAUGCUGAAUUUAAAAAUGUACUUAGAUUUUUAAUUAUUGGCCUAGUUUUCAAGUUGGUCCAAAUGGGGGUCUAAAAUUAAACUUUGUUUGAUUUCAUCAAAAAUUGAAUAAAUGGGUUCUUUGAUAUGCAAAAUCUAACUGUGUAUGUAGAUUCUUAAUUUUUGGUCCAGUUUUCAAAUUGGUCUACAUUAAGGUCCAAAGGGUCCAAAAUUAAACUAAGUUUGAUUUUAACAAAAAUUAAAUUCUUGGGCUUAUUUGAUAUGCUUUAUCUAAAUAUGUACUUUGAUUUUUGAUUAUGGGCCCAGUUUUCAAGUUGGUCACAGUAUUGCACAAUAGCAAGAAAUAUCUAAUUGCACAAUAUUGUGCAAUAGCAAUUAAUUUUCAAUUGGAGUUAUCUUUCUUUGUAUAGAAUAGUAGUUGAUAAUAUAUGUUGGAAAUUUGCCAGACAUGACUAUGAUGUCAUUUUCUAUUUUUAUUUGCCAAUAACUUUAUGUAAAUGACUUCAUUGGAAAUUUGCCAAUAUAAAAUGUUGCUGAUGAAGCUUUUUUUCCUUAUCUUAUCUAAAAUGUUUUUAGAUAAUGUAUGUUGGACAUUUGCCAGACAUGACUAUGAUGUCAUUUUCUAUUUUUAUUUGCCAAUAACUUUAUGUAAAUAACUUCAUUGGAAAUUUGCCAAUAUAAAAUGUUGCUGAUGAAGUUUUUUUUAUUGUUUUAUACAAUAAACAAUGUAUAUUCACUUUUACUACCAACCAAUCUUUACCAUUCAGUGAUAACAAGCACUUUAUUUUACAUUUUAAUAUUUUAUGAUGUAUUUAAAAGAGUAGUUAUUGUUGCAAACUCCAUUAGAAAUUUAAAUUGAUAUCAGUUUUGGAAAAAGGGAAACGGGGAUGUGAAAAAAAGGGGGGGGGGGUAAAUUUUUCUCAUUUCAGAUUUCAUAAAAUAAAAAGAAAAUUUCUUCAAACAUUUUUUUGAGAGGAUUAAUAUUCAACAGCAUAGUGAAUUGCUCAAAGGCAAAAAAAAACUUUUAAGUUCAUUAGACCACAUUCGUUCUGUGUCAGAAACCUAUGCUGUGUCAUGAUCAACUAUUUAAUUUUAGAUUUAAAAAGUUUGAAGAAGAAAUCUUUAAUUGAUUUGUAAAAUCUUGACAUUUGUUUUGUGUAAAAAAAAACCAUGUAAUGUCAAAAAUUUGAUCACAAUCCAAAUUCAGAGCUGUAUCACGCUUGAAUGUUUUGUCCAUACUUGCCCCAACUGUUCAGGGUUCGACCUCUGCGGUCGUAUAAAGCUGCGCCCUGCGGAGCACCUGGUUAUCAAAUAACCUGCUACACACUGCAAAGACAAUGCUUCAACCUCUUUUCUUAAGAUAAUCAAUCGUUUAGGUCUAAAUUUCUUUAAUUAUCAAUAAAAAAUUGAUGAUUCAUCAACUUGGUAAAAAUUGAAAAUGUCCAUUGACGGAAGCGACUGAAAGCGAGUAUCGUCAAGAACAGGGCGACUUGUUUUCGCUUUUGGGGGUCGGGGAAAGCGACUUCUUCGCCCAAGUCGCCUGGUAGCGUGAACCCUGGGAACCAUAGGCACAGCUCAUUGGUCCUUUAUGUUUUGAUGUCCCACCAUAUCGGGGGGGGGGGGGGUUUAAGUUUUACCAUUGUCUGUCUGUAGUAGUACAUACAUCGGUCUGUAUGUCCCAAAUUGGUUUCUGUUUCCUUACUUGAGAUUGCUUCAUUCAAAUUAUACGAAACUUGUACACAAUGCAUAUUUCCGCAUAACACAGGCGUCACUUUAGCCAUUUCAGAGUUAUGCCCCUUUAUAAAUGGUGAUUGCCCAAUAGGUCAAGUGAACAUUUGAAAUCAUUUGCGAGAUUAAAGCCUAUAUUUUAUUGAAUCUGUGUCGUAGACUAUGAGAACAAGUUACGAAAUAUUUGUUGUCCUUGUUUCAUCUGUUUACUGAUGAAAUCCAGAAAGAGACUAGAUCAUGUGCUUUAAACAAACACAAUGGGUCAUUUCUGGUAUUAUGUCUUUCAAUUGAAAAGAUCACCAAUUUCCCACGUCUUUGUGACGUCAUUUACCUGAUAGAAGGCAUGCCUGUAUCCCUGCUCUUUUUAAAGUUUCCAGCACUUUCAUAAACGUCAUUUUGUAAGGUAGUAUAGAAAUAAUUAAUGUUCCGCAAGUACAUAAUCGUGAUUGCCGUAUGACUGAGAGAGGGUGACCUUACUUUUAGAUUUUUAUUUUCCGAAUAUGUCAUGUAUGUUGUGCAGUAUAAAAUAAAACUUUUUCACCCGUUUACUCAACAUGUGUUAGAAAUUUAAGCAUUCAUUUUUGUCACAUGGGAAGUCACAUGACAAAUUUGUUGAAAACCGUAUCCAGACUGGCCCAUCUUCAAAUGCUAAUGGGUUUCUCUUUAAGGCACGCAAUAGUCAAAGUUGUGACUGAGAGCAAAAUAAGAAAAUAGAUGGAUCUGUGCCAUUUUCAGUCAAUGCUUACAAAUAACCUACAAUUGUCUGAUUCAUAAGGCGCUGAUAAGAUCAAGCUUAAAUCAAAAGGUGCUUCAAAUACAUUUAAAAUUUGUGUUGCUGUCAAGCGCUAAGACAAUUUUUUAAAACCUGACUAUGAUCAGGGCAAAUUUUCAAAAAUGUCAUACUGCCAGAUCUUUAAUAUUCUCAUAGCCCAAAUGGCGACCAGAUAUGAAUUUUUAGUCGCCAAUCAGCUUAUAAAGUCACCUAGGCGACCAUUUCAGUAGACUACAUUGAGGGCUAAAACUUGUACACAAUGUUUAUUAACUCAAAAUACAGAUCUAGUUCAACUGAUCUAGAGUUAUGAAACCUUAGAUAUAUGUGGUAUAAUUGUUAAAAUUAUUUUAUAAUGACCCAUUAAUGUAUUCUGGUCUAUGUGUCUGUCAACCGUCCGUUUGUUCUGCUUCAGGUUAAAUUUUUUGGUCAAGGGAGCUUUUGAUGAAGUUGAAGUUCUUGAAUCUUAGUAAACAUGUUCUCUAUGAUUUGAUCUGCCAAAUAAGAGAUUUUUACAGUUCACUGAACAUAAGAAAUGAUAGUGCGGAUGGGGCAUCCAUAAAUUAUGGACACAUUCUUGUUUUAAAUUGGAGUUACAAUGUACAUUAACCUCCUUUGUACAUAAUUGUAGUUGAAUCUGAAGUUCAAUAUCUGUAUUUGAAUCAACUACAAUUAUGGACAAAGAAAGAUAACUCCAAUUUUAAAAACUAAUUUAAUUCUUUCACCGACUGCUGCCCAGACAGAAGCUCCUCUGAGACGAUGGCUUCCCUGGCUACUUUUACUCAAUUGGGAGAUCUUCAUAAUAAAUGUCAAUAAAAACUUGUUUGUAGUUAUUUCAUUCACUAAUACCGAGUUCACAGUUUUGUUUAUGUUUUGAUAAUUUUUUCUUCAUAAAAUAUUCAAAUUUUCGGCAUUAUUUUGGUGAAAUUCUUAAAAUUCUGCUCUUUGACCCCAAAUUGUAAUUUUUUAACCCAAAACGACAAAAUUUGAAAAAUUUUAUGAGGCUGUACAAAUUUUUCACACUGAUCGAUGUCCAUUCCAAGUGUUUUGUACAUAAAAUGACAUUUUAUGUCAAAAAAGUAUACUAGUUUGGCUUCAAUUCUUCCAUAUUCUUUCAAAAAAAAAUGUUCCCUCAUUUCAAAUUCUUGUAAAUUCUGUAAAUUUCCUCUGAUUUUGACACGGUUUUCAACAAACGGAAGCACCAUGUUUACACUUUCAUCCGGGUAUUCAUCAAAGAAAGAUAACUCAUGUUUGCACUGUUUUGAGCGGGAAAUAUAAAAGAUGUAUUCUGAUCCCGGUAAAACCGGACUCAUCGUCUGCUGUCUGGAGCGUGAAUCCUGGUAAACCGGGACUCAUCGGCGAAAGGGUUAAACAACUACAAAGGAAGAUAACUCCAAUUUUAAUUUUAUUUUAACAAUUACAUCAACUAGAACCACUGCUUUAUACAAUCCAAUGUUCACUGAAAAAAAUAGAAACCCAUAUGACAAUAUGUGCUUACAAGCACUUUGAUCAUUUAUCAUUACAUCUGUAUCUUUAUAUGCAAAUUUUCAAAAAUAAAAUAUCACAAGGACAAUAAGAACUACAGUUGUCCAUGUCCAGCUAAAUGUACAUGUAGGUUUUAAGAUAUGACUAAAGAUUUUUUCAAACAAAAACAUGUUUUGAAUUUCUCAUAACUGUUGUAGGCCAAACAAAUAUAUAUAUGUCUGUUUACGUUUACCCGACCGACCCUUUUUUGAGCGCCAAUCCUAAGCCAUUUUAUUUCUGUCGUAAAGUGAUAAAAGUUAAUAGAACUUGUGUCAAAAGCAAAGUAAGGGUUGCCAAUAAAUUUAAUUAAUUGCCUGAUACAUCCCAAUGUUCACAAUUGAGAAUAUGACAACUUUUAAGGAAACUUAAUGAAAUAAAAACUUUGCUGCCAUUUUUUUCUAAAUAAUAACCAAGGGAAAUAAUCCAAUCAUUAAAACUACAGGUAAACUCAGCCCAUGGACAACUCAGACCUCAGCAAGACAGACUGCACAACUCAAGAUCAUGGCGCAAAAAAUAAAUUGGAAAUACGACCUGCCUACCCUAUUUAUUUUGAUGAUGUAACCUGUAACAGACAUUUUUUUUUUUGCCUGAAUAAAAAUUAAAGCAGAGUUUAAUAAAAUUUGCAAAACUUUGGCCACAGAGAGAAUAUUUGUGGAUGACACUGACAACGGAAAUGCGAAGGAUUGUCUCGAUCUGUUUGCAUCAAGUCGCAGGCUCCACAAAAAAAGAUAAGUUUAUAAAUUGUUGUGCUGGUUCCCGGCUGACUACUUAACUAUGUAUGUUGUUAAAAUAGAAGCGAAGUCCAGUUUUCAUAGUGUGCAUUAUUUAAAGAGAAACAUGAAAACUUGAAUGAAGCAUAAAAUUUUGUUAUUUAUUAGUAUAGUAUAUUAGAUGAUCUGAAUUAAAACUGCAUAUUAAUAUGGAAUGAGUAAGUAAUUUAAGUUUUGAAUGAUAAAAGAGCGCUAUCUACAAUUUUCAAUAACAAAGAAAGCGGUAUAAAUUAGUAGAAACAGAUAUAUCGCAAAAGUGAGUUACUGUUGAAGUAAAAUGUUGCAGACAAAUCAAAUCUAAAUUUGGGAAAACAUUUUAAGUAUUGGUCAACUAUCGGGUCAUUUACAUUUGGAUCAAGAUUUUUUCGCAAAUCAUGAGGCAACAUUUGGGGCUCUUUACUGAAAAUAGAGUGCCACAUAAACUUCUCCUUGGAGAUUCUCUAAAGUGACUUUGUUUCACUUCGUCUGGUGUGGUACGGGUGAACCCUUUUAAUUACUUAUAAAUUUAAAUAUAUUUUGUUAUUGUGAAGUCCUUAGAUUUUACAGAACCCAAAAUGUAGGUCAAAAGCCACCUCAGUUGCACUGGAGAAAAGACAUUUGUCAAACUGCAAUGGCUAUUUAUGAAAAAAUAGGGUUAUGGAUAAUCAUAAUUUUUGCAUAUUUUUUUGGUAAAAAUCAAAAGAUUAUCACCUUUUCUUCCAUGAAUCGAUAAAUAGCUAUAUAAAUAGAUUUUCCUUUAAGUAUUGAUUAAGUAAAGGUGUCACUACCAUUCAAAUGACUGCUCUAAUCAAAUUGUAAUCUGACUCUGCCAUUUGAGUUUUUGAUUCAUUAAAAAAAAAAGGUUUAAAAAUACAUGUAUUGAAGCCUAAAUUGCUUACUCAAGAAGUUCUAAAAUUAAACUGAGAAGUUGUCUAAACUUGAAGCAAUUAUUGUUAGAUAAAUCAACCUGUUUCUACAGCCUAUCUAAAUGUUGGAGAUUUUGACGCACGACCAUAGAUUUCCACACAGUUUAUUUGACCAUUUAUUUCCAUAGCCUAUCUGGUUGGCGAUUGGCUGCCAGUCUAUCCCGACUACAAUCACGGCCACUCAUUGUAGAACAAGCUUCUAGGUAACAGUUAAAAUUUAACAGCAUUUUACUUAUCACCAACGGAGAGAUAAAGCAGAACUUUCACAUUGAUACAAGGGAGAUUACUCUCCCAGGAAACCAGACCCUAUCAGUUUGUGUUAGUUUUUAUAUAUCUGUUAUCACGUGUAGUGAUUACGUUGUAAUUCUAGUUUGAUUAGGGUUAUAGGGUUAUCUAAUACCUGUAUUUACCUAUAUAUAGUAAGUAUAGCUACUUAUUCUAAUCACAUCAUUUCUAUUUACCUAUAUAUACUUAUCUUAUGAAAACAGCAGGUCACAUACAAUUGAUACAUUGUUUGGUAGCAUUCCUUCAAUAAAUAUACAAUAGACUAUUUUCACAUUACCUGCUUUUGACUCUGGAAUAUAUAUAUUGCAAACUGUGCAAUUUAGAGAAAUUAACUUGUUUUCCAAGAUUUAUAGAAAACAUACAACAUAUACCCCCCCUCAUUUGCACCUACUAAAAGCUUUUAUUUACUUGCUCAAGUGUUUGUUACCUGUUCGAGUGUCGUAAAAUUAUGAACUUAGUGGUCAAAAGUCUGUUAUAUAAAAUACAUGUACUGGUAGUCUAUUCAAGCUUUUCUGCAAAGUAAUUUUAGCUUGCACAAGUUGCUAUUAGGAUUGCAUUUCCCUUUGAUAUAGGUAUGGUACCGGUAUUUAACAGUAUCUUUUAAUGCCUCCAAGCCAAUAUUUGAUAAAAUAAUAUUUCAUUAGUGUCGAAUUGUCAUAAUAGAUAAGGUAUAAAGAAUUUUUUUAUUUGUACUUUAGAGUAUACUGUUUAAAUGUAUAUAAAAUAUAAGGAGAUGUGAUAUGACUGCCAAUGGGACAAUUCUUCAUUCAAGACUAAAAGAACAAGGACAAUUUAAAAAGUGUCCAUUAAAAAAGUGUUAAAGGUCAUUUAAACCGUUGUACAGGUAAACAAAUUCAACUAAUCUUCUUAUCUUUUCAAACUUCAUGAACUUUUAUUGAAUUCCCUCUAUGUGUGCCUCAUUUAAAGUGUAACUGUCAAUAGAAGCCCUUGAUUGAACCCCUCAGAGGUAUGAAUAAAAAGUCAGGAUAGUAUUGGAAGUUUUUACAGUGUGUUGAUAUAAGGUUUAUGUGAUAUGUUAUAGGACUGGUCAACCAAGGUAUUCCCCUGUUACGGGCCGUACAGUGGCGUACAGUGGAAUUAUCACAUAACAUGGUAAGUACAAAACUUUUUAAAAUCCGACCUGCUUUUAUAAUACGUUCUUGUCCAUUCGUUUUUGAUGUGUUUUGUCAUUUGAUUUUGCCAUGUGAUUAUGGACUUUCCGUUUGGAUUUUCCUCUUGAGUUCAGUAUUUUUGUGAUUUUACUUCAUAGUACUCCAAAUAGACACAAGACCAACAUCACAUGUCCUGUAAAAAAUACAUUCGGUCCAGGCAAUUUUUGUUCAUUUUGUUGAACAUUCCUAAGAAAAAUCUGAUCAUGAAGAAUCAUCAAUUCUUUCCUGUAAACAUCAAAUCCCAAUUUCUAGGACUGCCAUGACUUGUUAAACAUUUAUAAACUAGAUUGAUAGAAGACAUGGCUUGUAAUAAAAAAAGAAAUUGAUAUAUAUCCUAAAUUUUAUUUUGACAUACAUUUUAUAAAUUGUUCAAGUGUUCAUGUUGCAUUCUUUAUAUUAGUGUUUUAUAUUGCACCUUUAAAUUUCACUUGAAAAUCCUUUGAUAUUUAUUUAAAGCAAAUUUGAACACCUGAAAAUUUAAAGUACUGUUAUUUUUUAUUUUUUUUUAACCAAUAUUGAAACGGGUAACUUAAUUUUUUUUUCUUCAGGGUUUUAAAAUUAGCAGGGUCCACUCACCAAUGACCCCUAAAAUUUGGUGAGGUCUACUACUUAAAUUUCUGUUUUUCUUGUAUCAUCUUGAUCAUGUAUAGAACUCAUUCUAUAUAUAAAUUGGUUACCAACAUUUAUAACUGCCAAACUUGGUAUUUCCAUAUAGAUCAUAAUAUAUACUAGAGUUGAAGGUUUAUUUUCUUAUACAUGUACAAACAUUAUUUGCUUGAUGCAUGUACUUCGAUACUCCUUAUUGAAAAAAUUACGAAAGAAAAUUUUAAGGUAAAAUUGAAAAUGGAAAUGAGGAAUGUGUCAAAACGACAACAACCCGACCAUAGAGGCUAUUUCUUUGCUUAAAAUAAAGGGUAGGUAGGGAAAUUUGAAACACACAUUACUUUUUGAUUUGGCUUAGAGGCUUGUUAAAUAGAUUAAUAAAUGAUUUAUAGUAUCUUUCUAAAAAAUAAAAUUAUAAAAUUGAGCUCCAGAAGACUCCUGGAAUGUUUGUGGUUUAAAGGUUUCUGACUACAAAAAAUUUGCAUCAGAAUAAUAAUAAUUUUUAUAUUUGUAUAUUUUUCUGAUGAUUGACAUUUUCUAAAAGAACCAAACGGGGUUAAAUUAUUUUGAGACUUCUGGCUUGAAGCAUGUUGAUUUUAAAAGUUUAACUUUAGGACUAGUACUGAAAACAAUAUAAUUAGUUAUCACAGGUACCAGGAUUAUAAUUUAGUACGCCAGACGCACGUUUCGUCUUCAUUAGACUCAUCAGUGAUGCUCAUAUCAAAAUACUUAUAAAGCUAAACAAGUACAAAGUUGAAGAGCAUUGAGGAUCCAAAAUUCCAAAAAGUUGUGCCAAAUACGGCUAAGAUUAUCUAUGCCUGGGAUAAGAAAAUCCUUAGUUUUCGAAAAAUUCAAAAGUUUGUAAACAGAAAUUUAUAAAAAUGACCACGUUAUUGAUAUUCAUGUCAACACCGAAGUGAUGACUACUGGGGUGGUGAUAACCUCAGGGACAAAACGUCCACCAGCAGUGGCAUCAACCCAGUGGUGUAAAUAGUUAUCAAAGGUAUACUUUUCUUACCUUUUGACAAUAACUCAAACAAUAGUCUUCCUUGGUAUUCAAUAACAUUAUAAUAGAUUUUCAUUCAGUCAAAUUUUAUUAAUUGUAUAUUUGACUUGUUAACUAUUGACAUGUGUGGUAAAUGUAACCAUUUGUUUGAUUAACUUUGUUACAGAAACAAUAUCAACCUUUUGUCCCAGACUAUUGAGUGCAUAACAUGUUGCCACGAAGGCUGUGUGGCCAUUCUAAUCUGUUUUUAAAGCUGGCUGUGUGGCCAUUGUAAUCUAUAUUUAAAGCUUUCCAGUUUAUAUUAAGGAUGUACUUAGGUGAGGUUAGGUGAAAAUUAAUAAAUUAAGAAGUUAAAAUUGAUACUAUAAGCUAGUAGAGCAUCAAUUAAGGAUAAAAAUAAGCUAAAAAUAUUGAUAGGUCAUGGACCUUCUUUUCGAGAUAUUUGAGAUUUAAAAUAUGGCGGGAAAAGGCUGACUCGGACUUUUACCUUAUAUUUGCAUUGGUACUAUUAGUUCUCAAAACAAAAGAAAGAAAACUAAGAAUCUUCUAAAAUUUUGGUAAAUGGCCUUUCAUGAGCUUCUGUGAAAAAAUAAAUGGGUGUUAUGGAGCAAAAUAUUUUACAUUGUAUUGUAUGGAAAAACACCAAGGAGUUCGAACAUUUGACACAAAUUCCAAAACCUCACCCAAGUACAUGUACAUCCUUAAUUCCAAAGAGUGUGAAGUUAUGACAUGAAUGAGUUUGUUGCUGUUAUAUUUAUAGUGACAAUAUAAUGUGUACAUGAAUUAUGAUAUGUUUGUGAAGUAAACCUUUUCUCUGAAUAUGUUAUAAAAAAAUAGGCUCAACUUCAAUGUGCAAUCACAAACAAAGGGAAAUAACUACAAUGUGGUAAAAAAAAAAGAUGAAAGUCACUACAAGGAUGCAGUGGCGGAUCCAGAAAUUUUCAUAAGUGGGGGCCCACUGACUGACCUAAGAGGGGGCCCGCUCCAGUCACGCUUCAGUGAUUCCCUAUAUAAGCAACCAAUUUUUUCCAAAAAAAGGGGGGGGCAGCAGGCCCCCCUAAAUCCGCCUCUGGGAUGAAACACAAAUCUACUGCUGAAGCCAUUAAAUUUUGAAAUAAACAGUAGUCUGUACACAUGUUUUAAUAAGCGGAAUGAUACUCCAAUUUCUGCAGAUAUUUUACACAAAGAGUCCUUCAUUUAUACAUUAGUUGACCUAUAUUGAGAUGAAAACUUGAGGGUCUGGAUGCAUGCAGCCUUAACCACAAGUCCUAUGGCAUUGGCUUGUAAAAUUCUGCUCUACAAGCUAACAGAAUCUAACUGAAAUUUUCUAAAAAUUGAGCUUCUGGCUUGUGGACUCAAAAAGUUAAGCGUGAAGGCUUUGCAUAUGGUUGAACAGAAUAAGGAUUAGAAGGCAAAAAAUAGAAGAAAUGGUUAUUUUGACUUGCACGAUAGGUGCAUUGCUAGACCCCCUAUCAAACUUGGCUCAUUGUUUCCUGUAUGACAAUUUCUCUAAAUUAUAAUUUGAAAACUGAAAACUUGUUUCUUUGACAAUCAAUUGUUGUACUUUGUUUUUUGUGUCCAGUUAGACAAUUUUUCUGAUGUUAGAAUUGAAUACUUGGUUCAUUGACAAUCAAUUGUUGUACUUUGUUUUUUGUGUCCAGUUAGACAAUUUCUCUGAUGUUAGAAUUGAAUACUUGGUUCAUUGACAAUCAAUUGUUGUACUUUGUUUUUUGUGUCCAGUUAGACAAUUUCUCUGAUGUUAGAAUUGAAUACUUGUUCAUUGACAAUCAAUUGUUGUACUUUGUUUUUUGUGUCCAGUUAGACAAUUUCUCUGAUGUUAGAAUUGAAUACUUGGUUCAUUGACAAUCAAUUGUUGUACUUUGUUUUUGUGUCCAGUUAGACAAAUUCUCUGAUGUUAGAAUUGAAUACUUGUUUUUUGACAACCAUUGUUGUACUUUGUUUUGUGUCCAGUUAGACAUUUUCUCUGAUGUUAGAAUUGAAUACUUGUUCAUUGACAAUCAAUUGUUGUACUUUGUUUUUUGUGUCCAGUUAGACAAAUUUCUCUGAUGUUAGAAUUGAAUACUUGGUUCAUUGACAAUCAAUUGUUGUACUUUGUUUUUUGUGUCCAGUUAGACAAUUUCUCUGAUGUUAGAAUUGAAUACUUGGUUCAUUGACAAUCAAUUGUUGUACUUUGUUUUUUGUGUCCAGUUAGACAAUUUCUCUGAUGUUAGAAUUGAAUACUUGGUUCAUUGACAAUCAAUUGUUGUACUUUGUUUUUUGUGUCCAGUCAGACAGUUUCACUGAUGUGAUUCAGGUUUGACUAUGAUAAGCCUGGUGUAAUGGUUGGGAUUUGAGCAAUGCAGUAUAUUAUAUUUGUAUUGCACUUGUCCCGGCCUUCAUACUUUGCUAGUGCCACCUCAGAAUCUAUGCCACCUCAGAAUCCAUGUAAGUAUCUUCUCUAUUUUUAUCUUGUCUCUUAUGUUCCUGUAUGUUUGUCUGUUCAAUUGUGUCUUCUGUAUGUAAGGUAUCUCUAUUUUCAGCUCACCUGGCCCAACUUACUUUUGUCUCAACCAAAUGUUAUGAAACUUAUGAACAAUGUUUAUUACCUCAAAACUCAGAUCAAGUACCGAUUUGGGUAGCGUAACUUUUUUUAGUUCUUGAGUUAUGUCCAGUUAUAAUGUUAUAUGCUUGCAGGGGCAUCAUCUGUGACCCCAUGGAAACAUUUCCCAUUUAUUUUUAUCUAUGUUUUGGAUGAUUUGACUUGCAAAUAUAAGCAGCUGCUAAAGUCAAACUUAAGCUAAAUUGGGCAAAGAACUUUCUAAAAACUCAAGAUUUCUUCCUAAAGACAGCCUUCAAGAUAAACUUUCGAGUCCUCAAGCCCAAAGUUAAAUUUAAGUUUGUUUCUGUUGGCUUAAAGAGAAGAAUUUUACAAGCCUGAAAGCAGUUUUUCAAGCCAUUGCUGUAGGACUUGUGGUAAAGGCAGAAAACUAUUAAGAAAAUUAGGUAAAUUUUCGUAGGGUUUUGUUCUCGAACAUUGAAGAUUAUCAUGUCAAUAUCAUCAACGACUAUGUUAUAUUUGAUGUAUUUUACCAUGAAAAUUCUUGUGGUUUCUUUUGACCUGAUAUCAGUGCAGUUUAUAACAUUGUUCUAUCCUUCAUUGAAGAAGCGAUGAUUGUUCUGCUUGGGUUACCGUCAGUAAAUAAAAGAUGUAUAGGAUGGAUUCUAUUUAAAUUUGGUUGUAUUAUUAUUCAAUAGAACCAUCAGUUUAAUAAUUCGGCAUUUAAACUUGAUAUAACAAAGUCCUUUAUAUGGAUGCACGGUUAAUUGACCAGGAAUAAAUACAAAGAAAUAAUAGUACUCAUAUAAAUGUGCAUAGUUUUGAGAUCAGAUUUUUCACAGUGUAUUAUAUAUAGAUGGGUUUUGUUCAUUGGUUUUAUAUUAUCUUGAUUAAUACUUUGAAUGGCCCUAAAAUGAUUAUAAAUGAUGUGCAUGAUCAAUCUGUCUUCAGUGAUGGGUAUAUUGGACUUUGAAUGGACCUGUUUAGAGGUCUGUCUUCAGUGAUGGGUAUAUUGGACUUUGAAUGGACCUGUUUAGAAGUCUGUCUUCAGUGAUGGGUUUAUUGGACUUUGAAUGGACUUGUUUAGAGGUCUGUCUUCAGUGAUGGGUUUAUUGUACAUGUUAUCCAAUCCAAAUGAAUAUCUUCCUAUACCAAUGUACAUGUUAUCCAAUCAAAAUGAAUAUCUUCCUAUACCGAUGUACAUGUUAUCCAAUCAAAAUGAAUAUCUUCCUAUACCAAUGUACAUGUGAUCCAAUCAAAAUGAAUAUCUUCCUAUACCAAUGUACAUGUGAUCCAAUCAAAAUGAAUAUCUUCCUAUACAAUGUACAUGUUAUCCAAUCAAAAUGAAUAUCUUCCUAUACCAUGUACAUGUUAUCCAAUCAAAAUGAAUAUCUUCCUAUACCAAUGUACAUGUGAUCCAAUCAAAAUGAAUAUCUUCCUAUACCAAUGUACAUGUUAUCCAAUCAAAAUGAAUGUACAAACAAUGUUGCAUUAGAAUAAUGAAUACACAGUGUGCAAUGUGUGAAGCCUUGUUAACAAAACUCAUUGUAUAUGUACCUGAUAUUAAAUGAUCUUUUUAUUUUCUUUAAUAAUGAGGUAAUAAAUUUUAGGAAAAAAUGACUGGUUUGUGAUAUAAACCUACAGAUUAAACUAUGUUAUAUCAUGGCUUCCAAUGUCUGGGUUGUUAUAUAAACAUACAGAUUGGACUAUAUGUUCGCAAAAUAUAACAUGGCUUCGUUUAUCCCUGGACUCAUCAUUUCAUGAUGGUCUUAGACAGGCCAGCUAGGCUUUCCAAAGAAGCGGCCCCCAGACCCCUUGCUGUAAAGCACCAAGCUGUUGUCUGGCUUCACCAAAUGCACGUUACGGCCACCUAUAAUUGUAAUUUAGCCUACUACUUCAAUUUCAAGGGGAAAGCCCCUUGGUCUACUGUGUAUUUAUGCCCUAAUACAAAAAUUAUUUGUGCAGUUAUGUUAAUGUGGUACCUAACACUACAGGGAGAUAACUCUGUAAGAAUCAACUAAACAUUUUAAUAACUUUGUAUUGUUGUGAAAUAUUACGGUUCUUAAUGAUUAAAAUAAGCCCGCCGUUGGGUUUGUCAAACUGCUAUAUAACCAAUGAAAUUUUUCUGAUAAAGUGGUUGGUUGAAAUUUUUUGAAAGUUAUAUAUUUUUGUCAAAGUAUCAAAGUAAACAUUUUGUCAAAAUUUUAUAAAAAUUAAAUGGGAUGAAUCAAUUUUAGUCAAGGUGUUGGGUACCACCUUAAAUUUCAUAAGUUGAACAGAAGUUGAAAUAAAAAGAAAAUUAGAAAAAAAAUAAAGUUUUUUUGUUGUUGCACGUUUGAUAAUUGAAAGUGUUUGACUGAAUGAGAUGCGUAUUUAAACAUAUAACAUCACUCCUCAGCAAUGUGUAUUUAAAUACAUAACAUCCAUUGAGUAACGAGAUUUGUAUAGGUUAAAGAAAUCUGUCUGUAUUUAAUAUGUGUCUAUAAGAUUAUGUCAACAUGCCUAUAUUAGAUAUUGACAAUUGUAAACGCAUAUUUGUCAAUUAACUAUUAAACAUAAAGGCGGGAUUCAUGUGUAGCUUGCAGUAGCUUGUUUUCUUCACUUCUCUACAUCACAGGAAGUGAAAUUAAAUGAUUAUUUUAAAUUUCAGGUCCAAUAGGAGUAUUAACCAUAUUUAAAGAAUGGAUUUAACUUGGAAAUCGGAGGCAGGGAAGCAAUACAAAAUUAUAAGGUAACAAUGAUCUUGUUAUUAAUUAAUAUAUAUUUAAAAUAUAUGCCACUCGAUUUGAAGCAAGAAACAAUCAAUCACUGAUUUGAACCUAUACAUAGUCCAAAUUUGAAUAGAGGUGAAAUAAACUUUUUUGUAUGACUAAAAGAUCAGAAACAAGAUUUAAAAAACUUUUUUUUUGCUUAAUUUCUUAUUUUACUGAUUAUGAUGAUUACAUUUCCACUCUAGCCCUUGACAGUGUCUACAGCAAGUGUGACACAACUUUUACAAGUUUUAUUUAUUGUCAUUUUUUUAAUAAAUGUUUAUAAAUGCUAAGUAAAACAUUGCUUGUUAAUUUCCAUGUUAGAAGAUAUUUUCUGUAGGUUCCUUAGGCCAAAAUUAAAAAUAUGUUUAUUUCCCCUCCUCCCACCCGGGUCAAAAAUAAGCCCCCGGGUCAAAAAAAUAUUUUCCACUAAAAAAAUCGAAAUUAUUUUUUUCCUGAAAAUAAUUUGUUUCCAUUUUUGGAAAGUGCUUGAAAGCAGAAGGAUUGAUAAUCUAAAUAAAUACACUCAAAUUGAGCACAAACAACUGAUAAGUGGCCUAGACUGGACAAGUCAAACCAUUCAUGUGACCAUGCUAUGACAAUCACAUCAAGUUAAAAAAAAAAAAAGGACUUUCUGGUCUGUUUACAAAGGGUAGACCCGGGGGAGGGGAAACAGACAUUCUUUUAAAUGUGGCCUUAAGUACUAAAGUACAUUUUAUUUUCUGACUCUUGCAGUACAUGUACUGGAUAUUUUUUUUUCUAAAAAAAAAAAUAUUUUCAAUGAAUCCUUAUAAUUAUUCAUGUUGUACUUAGGUCCAGGAUUUUGGAAAUGGUGAAACCCCCCUGAUUCGAAUCACUUUUAAAAUUUCCUACUUCGAGGGUAGUGGUCUGCUAAAGUCACUAACAUGAAUAUUAAACACAUGUUUAACUUUAAAUCUUGAAUAAGGUAUAGAUAAGGUAGUUUGUAUUUAUAAUCCAAAUUGAUUUUUUUCUUAUGACCAAAAACUUUUCAAGAGACGAGUUAUGAAAUAUUGAAUGUGUAAUUUAAACAAGUUUAGACAACUCUUGGCAGGUUUGUCUUCGUUUUGUGAUUUAAGACAAGAAUUGGUAACGUGGAAUUAAUUUGAUAAGCAAUGGUCGAUAAAAAAAGGAUUAAAUGUUGUGUGUAUUGCAAACCUAAGGUUUAAAUUCUUUACAAAAUGAUAGGUAAUAGAAAAAACUGCAAGAGUUAUUGGAAAGUAUAAACACUCUUCAUUUGAAUAUUUAUUUACAAUUUGUGAAAGAAUAUGAAAUUUGAUGUAUAAUUCAUCCUUUUAAAAAGUCUUUAAAGGCCGGCUUUCGUUCUUUUAACCUGUGUACUUUUGAUAUUCUUACCCCUUAAUGAAUUGAAUAGGCCAAGCAAAAGAUAUCCAGUUUCAAACUUUUCACUCUAAAUUAAAACUUGUAUUUAUAAAAAUAUUGCAGAGGUUGUGAAAUCUUUUUUUCCCUGGUGAUCCUUGAAGAAAAUCUGCAGGUCCUCGCUAUUAAUUCUAUUGAAAAAUACUAAAAUUGUGUUAGUCCUAUGCCAAAUUUUGGUGGUAAAAUCCUGAAGACCACCACAUUUCGCGAACUCUGAUAAAUCUAUAGACAACACUGACUUUAGCUGACUAUCUUCCAUUUGUACUAUUUGAAUUUCAACAUUUUUUGUUGCAGGAAUUAAACUAGGGUAAGACAGGAGUUUUAAGAGUAUGCAGAUAGGGGGUUAACAGAAUAGAGAAAAAGAGCAAAAAAUAUAAAGAAGACAGAAAUGAGCAAAAAAAAUAAAGAAAAGAGAAUAACAAGUUGCUAAAAUAUAAAUACAUGUUAUAGAGGCGUACAAAUUAAAGAAUGCAGAAAUGAAUAACCCCCUAUCCACACCCUGAAUGGGGCAAUGACCCAGCUUUUAUUUAAUCUCUGCAUGGAUUAACAGAUUAAUGGAUUAAACUAAUCUGUAUUAAUUAGUUGAUUAUUCAGAUGUGAACUUUAACCAUGUUUUAGACAUAACUAACGGUCGUGCUUUUUAUGCCCCAUUUAAGGGCAUUAUGCUUUCUGGUCUGAGUCUGUUCAUUCAUCUGUCCGUCUG
rnacentral:lncRNA from 1 species